GAUGAACGCUGGCGGCGUGCUUAACACAUGCAAGUCGAACGGUGAAGCAGAGCUUGCUCUGUGGAUCAGUGGCGAACGGGUGAGUAACACGUGAGCAACCUGCCCUGGACUCUGGGAUAAGCGCUGGAAACGGCGUCUAAUACUGGAUACGAGACGUGGCCGCAUGGUCGACGUUUGGAAAGAUUUUUUGGUUCAGGAUGGGCUCGCGGCCUAUCAGCUUGUUGGUGAGGUAAUGGCUCACCAAGGCGUCGACGGGUAGCCGGCCUGAGAGGGUGACCGGCCACACUGGGACUGAGACACGGCCCAGACUCCUACGGGAGGCAGCAGUGGGGAAUAUUGCACAAUGGGCGAAAGCCUGAUGCAGCAACGCCGCGUGAGGGAUGACGGCCUUCGGGUUGUAAACCUCUUAUAGCAAGGAAGAAGCGAAAGUGACGGUACUUGCAGAAAAAGCGCCGGCUAACUACGUGCCAGCAGCCGCAGUAACAC
rnacentral:rRNA from 1 species